AUGCAUGAAGGUAAAAUGAAAAUUAUUGGAAGGGCUGGGAAAGGAGUUUAUGGGGGUGGAGAUAUGCUUCGUCCACGCUCUAAAUCCAAAAAUGGAGCAGCCUCCUUGUUCUUGAAAUCCUCUACUCUCCUCUUAUCAACACUCAUACAUGUGUUAUACAACUUGGGUUGAUUUACUUUUGUUAUCUUAAAAGUGACUGGUCUGGAAUUUGGAUUAAGAAUGUAAAGAACUUGCUUUAUAUAUAUGGUUCUGAUCAACAUCCACUUAGAUAUCUUCUUCUUGUUUUCAGUUUUUUUUUUUUUGUUUUCCUUCAAUCAACAAAAGAAAAAUGGUUUUUACCGAUUAUAACUUCAAAGAAUACAGCCUAUUCUGAAAAAUCUGUAUUAAGUACUAACCAUAAAUCCUGAUAUGAGAAAUCCUUUCCACAGCUAAUUUGCUGCUUAUUAGAACCUGCAAACUUGAGCAACAUGAAUUUCUAAUCUGAAACUAGAGAUAUUGUUUAAACCAAAUUCAAUCAAGCCCAAUUUACCAACUCAACCCAGCC
rnacentral:lncRNA from 1 species